GAUGAACGCUGGCGGCGUGCCUAAUACAUGCAAGUCGAGCGAACGGACGAGAAGCUUGCUUUUCUGAUGUUAGCGGCGGACGGGUGAGUAACACGUGGAUAACCUACCUAUAAGACUGGGAUAACUUCGGGAAACCGGAGCUAAUACCGGAUAAUAUUUUGAACCGCAUGGUUCAAAAGUGAAAGACGGUCUUGCUGUCACUUAUAGAUGGAUCCGCGCUGCAUUAGCUAGUUGGUAAGGUAACGGCUUACCAAGGCAACGAUGCAUAGCCGACCUGAGAGGGUGAUCGGCCACACUGGAACUGAGACACGGUCCAGACUCCUACGGGAGGCAGCAGUAGGGAAUCUUCCGCAAUGGGCGAAAGCCUGACGGAGCAACGCCGCGUGAGUGAUGAAGGUCUUCGGAUCGUAAAAAUCUGUUAUUAGGGAAGAACAUAUGUGUAAGUAACUGUGCACAGCUUGACGGUACCUAAUCAGAAAGCCACGGCUAACUACGUG
rnacentral:rRNA from 1 species